rnacentral:tRNA from 1 species
GGAGACGUAUCGAAGUGGUCAUAACGAGGCGCACUCGAAAUGCGUUUGUCGGGGUAACCGGCACGAGAGUUCGAAUCUCUCCGUCUCCGCCA